rnacentral:rRNA from 1 species
AGCGAACGCUGGCGGCAGGCCUAACACAUGCAAGUCGAACGAACUCUUCGGAGUUAGUGGCGGACGGGUGAGUAACACGUGGGAACGUGCCUUUAGGUUCGGAAUAACUCAGGGAAACUUGUGCUAAUACCGAAUGUGCCCUUCGGGGAAAGGAUUUAUCGCCUUUAGAGCGGCCCGCGUCUGAUUAGCUAGUUGGUGAGGUAAAGGCUCACCAAGGCGACGAUCAGUAGCUGGUCUGAGAGGAUGAUCAGCCACAUUGGGACUGAGACACGGCCCAAACUCCUACGGGAGGCAGCAGUGGGGAAUCUUGCGCAAUGGGCGAAAGCCUGACGCAGCCAUGCCGCGUGGAUGAUGAAGGUCUUAGGAUUGUAAAAUUCUUUCACCGGGGACGAUAAUGACGGUACCCGGAGAAGAAGCCCCGGCUAACUUCGUGCCAGCAGCCGCGGUAAU